GACGAACGCUGGCGGCGUGCUUAACACAUGCAAGUCGAACGGAAAGACCCUGCUUUUGUGGGGUGCUCGAGUGGCGAACGGGUGAGUAACACGUGAGUAACCUGCCCUUUACUUUGGGAUAACUUCAGGAAACUGGGGCUAAUACCGGAUAGGAGCUCCUGCUGCAUGGUGGGGGUUGGAAAGUUUCGGCGGUUGGGGAUGUACUCGCUGCUUAUCAGCUUGUUGGUGGGGUAGUGGCUUACCAAGGCUUUGACGGGUAGCCGGCAUGAGAGGGUGACCGGCCACAUUGGGACUGAGAUACGGACCAGAAUCCUACGGGAGGCAGCAGUGGGGAAUAUUGCACAAUGGGCGGAAGCAUGAUGCAGCAACGCCGCGUGCGGGAUGACGGCCUUCGGGUUGUAAACCGCUUUCGCCUGUGACGAAGCGUGAGUGACGGUAAUGGGUAAAGAAGCACCGGCUAACUACGUG
rnacentral:rRNA from 1 species